CUCCACUCAAUGACAUCCCACUCAGACAAACUAGAGAAGGAUAAAGAAAAACAAGGGGGUAAGCACUUGGAGGUCAGAAGAGAACUUUUGGGAGUCAGUUCUUUGAUGGGAACUCAGGUACCCCUAAAGAUGCCUUCACCCGCAGACAAGAGGAAGCAGUCUAGAGAAGAUGAUGCCCACAUUCCUAAAGAAAAGCUAAAGAUCAGCACGUAAAGAUCACUUCUGCAAGAACACUCAAAAUAACUGACUGUGGGAAAUGGACUCAUCCAAAGAAGAAAAUAAUUGUU